CGUUGUCCAAACAGAUGCCUUUCAUGAAAAAAUAUAAAUACAAUUAAAAAUUGUUAGGUAGUCAUUAAAGGCUAAUAAUCAUCUUAAUUCCACUUAGAUGAAAGAAAUGUGAUUAGAAUCAGCAGAGAAGGUGCUGCAAAGGGAUGCAGAGCAAGUUAGAAGAACAGAAUGGAGGAAACAAAGCCCCCUUUAUCUAAGACUGUCUCCUCCUUAUCAGUGCAGAUGGGCAUUCGUCACAUAACAUUCUCUUCUGCUUCGUUUUCAGAUCAUGUCUUUACUUCUGAAGAACUUCUUGCCGGAGCUGUCUCUAAAGAAGUCUUGCUUUAAAAGAAAAUACCUCUUGGUUGUAUUUAACUGCAUUGAAGAUGAUUUUUUGGUUUCUAUACAGAAAUCUUUUCAAGGACUGCACUGCAAGCAUACUGAAAUCAUGAGGUAAUUCAGACAUGUGACAAAGAUCUCAGACUCCUUAAGACAAAUUCUUCCAUCUGGAUUCCACUCUAGUGAUGCUUUUGGGUCAGAGCAAAAAAAAACCCAACCCUAUACCUCACCCCUUUCCACUCAGGUGGUCCACUCUGGUCUUGGUAAUGUCUGUGAUGGGCCACUGGCACCACUCAUUCUCCUGGCAGGCUUUCCUGCUUGGUCCCCUGUGGGAGUGUGGUGAGGCCUCAGUGGUAGCAUGGGGGAGGGAAAAAGAGGGCUCAUUGCAAGUGCAACCUAAAAACCUCCCUGCAGCUGGAGCAGGACUAGCACACCCCUAUGGUAGUUAGUCUCCAGGCCAGGCUUCAGGACCCCCAGUUGCCACAGGAAACUUCCUGUGGAGGUAGGCAACACAUUUACCUGUGGUACCACAAAAGGGAAUCCUUUCAGGGGUGGGAGGCCCCACCAGAAGAGAACACACCAUGGGCAACUGAUCACCUGUAGGGGAAAACACAUGUGGUGCCCUGGUAGCCAAAUUUUUGAGCAGAUACAGACCCAAAAUCCAUUGCAAGGGCAGCAGUGGUCAUGGAGGAUCCUAGGGAGCAUGAGGGGACAUUGCCCAAAAUACUAAGGUACGUGGCCAAGUACCAGCAGGCCUAGAACCCCAGCUUGCCUGGGAAAUACCUACAAAAGGGUAGCCAGCAGGGGCCAGGUGAAGCACAUCUCACCGAACGCAGAACACUGAAGUAAAGCAUUGGGUGUGGAUAGCAUCAGUGCCCUGCUUGCCUGUAUUCUGUGAGUAUCAUUAUUGUUAAGGUGUGCAUUCAUCAGCCAAGAUGUCCUCACCAUGCUCCCACAGGGGACCAAGCAGGCAAA